GGGCUCCCUUUAGCAGCACAUAUACAAACAUUGGAACAACACCGAGAAGAUUUGCAUGUCCCCUGCGUAGGGAUGACAUGCAAAUUCGUGAGGCAUUCCAUAUUUGU
ensembl:snRNA U6 U6 spliceosomal RNA